rnacentral:rRNA from 1 species
AGUGAACGCUGGCGGUAGGCCUAACACAUGCAAGUCGAACGGCAGCACAGUAAGAGCUUGCUCUUACGGGUGGCGAGUGGCGGACGGGUGAGGAAUACAUCGGAAUCUACUUUUUCGUGGGGGAUAACGUAGGGAAACUUACGCUAAUACCGCAUACGACCUACGGGUGAAAGCAUGGGAUCUUCGGACCUUGCGCGAUUGUAUGAGCCGAUGUCGGAUUAGCUAGUUGGCGGGGUAAAGGCCCACCAAGGCGACGAUCCGUAGCUGGUCUGAGAGGAUGAUCAGCCACACUGGAACUGAGACACGGUCCAGACUCCUACGGGAGGCAGCAGUGGGGAAUAUUGGACAAUGGGCGCAAGCCUGAUCCAGCCAUACCGCGUGGGUGAAGAAGGCCUUCGGGUUGUAAAGCCCUUUUGUUGGGAAAGAAAAGCAGCAGGUUAAUACCCCGCUGUUCUGACGGUACCCAAAGAAUAAGCACCGGCUAACUUCGUG